rnacentral:rRNA from 1 species
AACGAACGCUGGCGGCGUGCUUAACACAUGCCAGUCGAACGGAAGGGCCCUGCUUUUGUGGUGUGCUCGAGUGCCGAACGGGUGAGUAACACGUGAGUAACCUGCCCUUGACUUUGGGAUAACUUCAGGAAACUGGGGCUACUACCGGAUAGCAGCUCCUGCUGCAUGGUGGGGGGUGGAAAGUUACGGCGGUUGGGGUGGACUCGCGGCUUAUCGGCUUGUUGGUGGGGUAGUGGCUUACCACGGCUUUGCGGGGUCGCCGGCCUGGGCGGGUGGACGGGCACAAGGGGACUGCGAUACGGCGCAGUCGGCAACGGGAGGCAGCGGUGGGGAAUAUUGCACAAUCGGCGGAAGCCUGAUGCAGCAACGUCGGGGUCGUGAAGACGGCCUUCUGGUUGUGAACCGCAGCCGCCUGUGACGAAGCGGUAGUGACGGUAAUGGGUGAAGAAGCACCGGCUAACUACGUG